rnacentral:rRNA from 1 species
UACGAAGGGGGGCUAGCGUUGUUCGGAAUUACUGGGCGUAAAGCGCGCGUAGGUGGUUUGUUAAGUUGAAUGUGAAAUCCCCGGGCUCAACCUGGGAACUGCAUGCAAAACUGGCAAGCUAGAGUAUGGUAGAGGGUGGUGGAAUUUCCUGUGUAGCGGUGAAAUGCGUAGAUAUAGGAAGGAACACCAGUGGCGAAGGCGACCACCUGGACUGAUACUGACACUGAGGUGCGAAAGCGUGGGGAGCAGACAGG